rnacentral:rRNA from 1 species
UACGGGGGGGGCAAGCGUUGUUCGGAAUUACUGGGCGUAAAGGGCGUGUAGGCGGCCAACUAAGUCCGACGUGAAAUCCCCAGGCUUAACCUGGGAACUGCGUCGGAUACUGGAUGGCUUGAAUCCGGGAGAGGGAUGCGGAAUUCCAGGUGUAGCGGUGAAAUGCGUAGAUAUCUGGAGGAAUACCGGUGGCGAAGGCGGCAUCCUGGACCGGCAUUGACGCUGAGGAGCGAAAGCCAGGGGAGCAAACGGG